ACGAACGCUGGCGGCGUGCCUAAUACAUGCAAGUGGAACGCAUGAUUGAUACCGUAGCUUGCUACACCAUUAAUCAUGAGUCGCGAACGGGUGAGUAACGCGUAGGUAACCUGCCUACUAGCGGGGGAUAACUAUUGGAAACGAUAGCUAAUACCGCAUAAGAGUUUUUUAACACAUGUUAGAAAUUUAAAAGGAGCAAAUGCUUCACUAGUAGAUGGACCUGCGUUGUAUUAGCUAGUUGGUAAGGUAACGGCUUACCAAGGCGACGAUACAUAGCCGACCUGAGAGGGUGAUCGGCCACACUGGGACUGAGACACGGCCCAGACUCCUACGGGAGGCAGCAGUAGGGAAUCUUCGGCAAUGGGGGGAACCCUGACCGAGCAACGCCGCGUGAGUGAAGAAGGUUUUCGGAUCGUAAAGCUCUGUUGUAAGAGAAGAACGUUGAGUAGAGUGGAAAGUUACUCAAGUGACGGUAUCUUACCAGAAAGGGACGGCUAACUACGUGCCAGCCGCAGC
rnacentral:rRNA from 1 species